AUCCAGCUGACGAGUCCCAAAUAGAACGAAGGGCGCGUCUUGGAU
rfam:Schistosoma mansoni, Puerto Rico, WGS project CABG01000000 data, contig: 0256